rnacentral:rRNA from 1 species
UGGGGAAUAUUGGACAAUGGGCGAAAGCCUGAUCCAGCCAUGCCGCGUGUGUGAAGAAGGUCUUCGGAUUGUAAAGCACUUUUAGUUGGGAGGAAGGGCAGUAAAUUAAUACUUUGCUGUUUUGACGUUACCGACAGAAUAAGCACCGGCUAACUCUGUGCCAGCAGCCGCGGUAAUACGGAGGGUGCAAGCGUUAAUCGGAAUUACUGGGCGUAAAGCGCGCGUAGGUGGUUUGUUAAGUUGGAUGUGAAAUCCCCGGGCUCAACCUGGGAACUGCAUUCNAAACUGGCAAGCUAGAGUAUGGUAGAGGGUGGUGGAAUUUCCGGUGUAGCGGUGAAAUGCGUAGAUAUNGGAAGGAACACCAGUGGCGAAGGCGACCNCCUGGACUGAUACUGACNCUGAGGA